GCAUGACCCUUUAUCAUCUCCAUCAAAUGAUGGUUGUAAUUGCAUGACCCUUUAUCAUCUAAUAAUUAUGUCCAUCAAAUGAUGGUUAUAGAUUGCAUGACCCUUUAUCAGACCUUGUCUCACUUGAUGUUUAUUGUGUAGUGGGUCUUUACCUGCUGUUUUUGUCGAUGCGUGCCCCCACGUGGAGGGAGUUGGGAGAUCAUCUCAUGCUCAGUGGACUUCUACAUCUCCCAUGCAGAGCUAGGCAGCCAACCAUGCAGUGAGAGAGGCAUGCAGUCUGCAUCUGUACUGCAGAGCUGGGCACUAAGAUUGAUGAAUGGUCAUGUGAUAAUAGUGCCUGUGUAACCUAUAUCCUCUAAACUCCUUUUUGGAGCAUCAUAAUUUUUGGGGUCUCAUAACUUUUUCUAGCUUAGUGGCUGCGUUGCUUAAUCGACCUUUUAGAGCUAGAUUCUCUUUACUUUUUAGAAUAAUCAACAUUAAAAGUGAUCAAUUUCACCAUUUCUAUGUACAGCACAUUGUAUGGCAGCAAGACAGGUAAUGAGCAUGCUGACUAUAAAUAUAAUCCUUUGUAGUUUUAGCCACACCCUAUAACGCGGAGUGUUUCAGGCAAACAUUUUCGUUUCCAAUCCCUCUUACUGUUCUAUCCAUGGUAUGAUGUAUUGUGCAUGUGUAACACCAGGCAGGUACAGGAAACUUGUCUUGACUCAAUCCUUUUUACUCCGCUCUACAGAGUGCUCAGAGGCUACCCGGCUAUGACCAGCUCGGCAAUGUGUGAAGGAUUGUCUGAAACCGUACGUGGGGACGGAGCAGUGACAAUGCCUUGGUGCAGUCUGCUGGAGUGGACUGUCUCACCUCACUCUGUCAGCUGCUGGGGAGGAUGAUCCUCAGAGGAAGAAUAGAACAACACAAACUGCCCUUCUCCUGCUUGGAGAGCUGAGUGGUGUGAGUGGGUGUGGUGACCGAGUGUCCUCCCUCCUCCCCCUCUGUGCCGAGACUCUACGACACAAACACUACCCUCAACACAUCAACUUCCUGGAGACACUGCUCAAACUGUUGCCAGUGUUUGCCAAGUCUCUGGGUAAGAGAGUGUUCAAGAGACACCUCGAGCUAUUUCUGGACUCCAUCUUCUAUGGACUGAGCAGUGACAAUGCCCUGGUGCAGUCUGCUGGAGUGGACUGUCUCACCUCACUCUGUCAGCUGCUGGGGAGAAUGAUCCUUAGAGGGAGAAUAGAACAACACAAUCCAACGUAUCUGGACAAGUUUGACAGAACAGUAACUGUUGUAUAGCUGCUCUUAAUAUUAUUGUUUAGCUAAUAUAAAUGAACAGAUGCGCUAUUAAUUCUUAUUAUUAUAAAUCAUGAUGAAUA